AAUGAUGUGCCUGAAAAAGGAUUAUUUUGAUAGAAUAAAUCAUAUAAAUUAAAUUAUCUUCAUUA
rnacentral:tRNA from 1 species